UUUAAGCAACACGUCUAUCCACCAAUCAGAUUCCUACUUGUGCGCAUUUCGCUGUCCGCUCUGUCCACUGUCUGUCUUUUAGUUUCGACUUCGCCGUGGCGCCGUUCAGAGGCUGGAAGAAGAGAGAAGCACACUGGGGCAACGAUGGUGAAGAUUUUCAUUGGGAACCUGUCCCAGCACGCCACCAAGGAUGAAGUGGAAGCUCUGUUCACCCAGUACGGCACAGUGACCGAGUGUGCCAAGUAUAAAAACUACGCCUUCGUCCACAUGGAGGACCGCAAGUCGGCCACCAAAGCCAUCCGGGAGCUCCACCUCUAUAAACUGAAUGGCAGACCCAUCAACGUGGAGCCCAGCAGGGGGAAGAACCAGGGCCCUGUGAAGCUCCACAUAGCCAACGUAGAAAGGGGCUUCGAUAAGGAGCUCCGGGAGCUGUUUGAAGAGUAUGGCACGGUCACAGAGUGUUCCAUUGUCAAGAACUUUGCCUUUGUGCACAUGCUCAACUCUGAGGAGGCCAUGGACGCCUUGCAGGGCCUGGACAACUCCGAGUUUCAAGGAAAGCGCAUACAUGUUCAGGUAUCAAAAAGCAGACCCAGAGGGGCACCAGAGGAGGAGGAGGACUAUCCACCUCCGCCAGGCAGAGGAGGCUUUUAUCCUCCUCGCUACCCAAUGGAGAGGCCCGAGCCUCCCUACAGGGGCCGCAUGCCUGCUUACCCUCCUCCGCCCCCUCCUCCCCCGAGACGAGCGGCUUAUCCUGACCGUGGUUAUGGCGAGCGAGACGGCUAUGGGGUGGUCGAUUACUAUGAGAAAUUCAGAGCCCGUCCUUACAGCGCGGCAGGCUACGACGACCGGCGCUCCGGCGCCAUCCCCCCUCCUCCGCCUCCCCCCUCAGCACUGGUUAGAGAACGUCUCGGAAUGGGGCCCCCUGACCCAUACGAGCGCCCCCCUCCUCCCCCUCUGCCCUACAUGGUCAGGGACCGAAGCCCCCUCAGACGAGCCCCCCCUCCACCUGCUCCAUCAGCUGGUAACGGGUACUCCUACGAGCGGUCCCGCCUGUCCCCGGUGUCCAGGCCCCCGAUGUAUGGCGUCCCCCGCCCCAGGGACUCCUUCUCAGAGAGGAUGCCGCCGCUGCCGCCUCCACCACCUCGAUAUGCAGGCUAUUAAGCACACAGGAGUGUAAUAGAACGGAAGGUUGUUAGACUCUAUGCAGGAGGUGGCAGCUCAUGGUAAGUCAUUCUGGGACGAUGUGCAGCAGCCUGUAAAGAAGAGGUAGGUAUAGUUUAAACUGUACUGCAAAACAACUCUCACCAAUGCAAUAACCUGUCUCCUGCCUCCCUCUUGUGUUGUUGCAUUUGUACUGCAUUAUGUUAAAAAAAAAAAAAAAAAAAAAAAACAGUCUGGGAGCCUUGAACAUUUUUAAAGGAAGCUUUACAAUAUUUGCAAAAAAAAUUACACUUCUUUACAUUUUAAAACAUUAUCAAUGUUUUUUUUUAAUUGGUAAAGCACAUACUUGUGUUUGAUGUACUUUAUCUUUAAAUUAGUUGGUAAAUGUGGGACAGUAGCAUCCAUUAUAUUAGAUUUACUGGGGUAAAAUAAUACAUUUGCUCACAAGCAUCUGACAAAGGGAGAAAGGUGUGAAUUCGUUCAGUAAAUUAUAGUUGUGGGAAUCUAGUUGGUGCUUAUUUGGGUUAUAUUAUAAGAUGUGGUAAUGCAACAUCGGUAUGAGGUAAUGGAGAAAUUAUGAAAAUGUUUGCUUUUAUCAUCAACCGCUGACCGUCUCUCUUUGUCUGCAGGCUCGUCUCCACUCCGACAACAGUAACGGGUCUCCGAGUGAGUUCACACAAGUUUGUCGUCUCUGAGUGUUAUAAGAUGGAAUCAGGCGGUCCAGUGUUAAAGGAAGAGCAUGUGGUCCUUCAGUGAGAGUUGGCUCCACUGUUUGGUGAACUGGAGGGAAAGAUCCAAUCCUCGGAAAACCUGCGAGGUUGCGUUGUUGUUCUCUGCAGCUGAUGACUCCAAAAGAGGAGAUAUGGACUAAACCAUAUAGUCUGACAGUUGUGGCUGGAUUUUGGUACAGUCCAUAUGUCCUGAAAUGUGUUCUUGAAACCAUUACAUGAGCUUUUAUACCACUGUUAAACAUUAUUAUUUUUAUAUUCAUGCCUAUAAAGUACUGUUGAUGAACCUACACCUGUUUUAUACAGAUAUACUGUAGGCUACUGUAUAUAGGCAUGUGCAUACAAUAUUUGCAGUACUUCAUUGUCAAAUAAUUUUAUAAAUUGUCUUUUUUUAAUAUGGAUGUGUACUUUUGUGUCUUCCCAGUAUGACAAGUUUAAACAUGAUAAACCUCUGUUAAUAAAGACCUUUUCCUUAAUGUCUGAA